rnacentral:rRNA from 1 species
UACGAAGGGGGCUAGCGUUGUUCGGAAUUACUGGGCGUAAAGGGCGCGUAGGCGGCCUGACAAGUCAGAGGUGAAAGUCCUGGGCUCAACCUGGGGACUGCCUUUGAAACUGUUGGGCUUGAGACCGGGAGAGGUGGGUGGAAUUCCCAGUGUAGAGGUGAAAUUCGUAGAUAUUGGGAAGAACACCAGUGGCGAAGGCGGCUCACAGGACCGGUUAUGACGUUGAGGCGCGAAAGCGUGGGGAGCAAACAGG